rnacentral:misc_RNA from 1 species
UCCGCGUUUUGGCGCGGCAGUGUUCGAAGUAAUAUAACAUCGAAUAGGGGUUGCGCUCGUUGUGGGACUUAACCCGACAUCUCACGACACGAGCUGACGACAGCCAUGCAGCACCUCUGUAGCACCCUCGAAGGAUUCUCCGUUUCUGGAGUGGUGCAGCUACAGUUCAAGCCCAGGUGAGGUUCUUCGCUUACCAUCGAAUUAAACCAGACAAUCCACUGCUUGUGCGGAUCCCCGUCAAUUCCUUUGAGUUUUAACCUUGCGGUCGUACUCCCCAGGCGCCCUGUUUAACGUGUUAACUACGACACUUAAUCCAUCCUAUAACCCUACGGCAAGCCGCAGAAUAAAUCAGACAAAUCAAACAUCUAACAGGGAGUGUUUACAGCGUGGACUA